UUGUCUCCACCCUGGUAGAGUCUGAUUGGCACCAGAGUAGAGUUCCUUCCAGGCUUGCAUGGCUUAACGUGAAGAAGUUCAACCUAGCUCGUGUGGUUGUGAGAAGGUUCAAGGAAGCAGCGUGUGGAAAGCAGCACCCACACGGUCCCCUGGACAAUGGCAGCUCCUGUCACCAUUGACUUCAUUCCUCCGCCCGCCUCUUGAAAUUUCCACUCCCAGCUGUUUUGGGUAUUUUGUCUGUGUACCGUAUGCCUGCUGGUGCCUGAGGAAAUCAGAAGAUGUCAGAUCCCUUCGAAAGGGAGUUACAGAUGACUGGGAGCCACCAUGUGGGUGCUGGAAACCAAAUCCAGGUCCUCUACAAGAGCAGCAAGUGCUCUUAACUGCAGAACCAUCUCUUCAGCUCCACACAAAGAUUUUCAAAAAAGAAUUCAGGGAGUCCAAGAACUGGGAUGAGCACAAGUUCUUCACUGUCUCCACAGUCUGCUGGAACAGAGUGUCCCCCAUUGUGAAAAGAUCCUCUAGUCUCAGGGAAGGGUGGCCCUUCUAUGACCCACACCAGGAGACAUCAGACACUUCUCUACCACAUCCUAGCUUCGCACACCUCUCCAAAUCCUGUUUACCAGAUAUGCUCCUUUAUCAGCUGUAUUAAAAGGAUACCACAGGCUGCAUUUACAACAUGGUAAGAGAGAGGGCCAGCAAGAUGGCUCAGUGGAUAAGAGUGCUUGCCACCAAACUUGAAGACCCAGGUUCAAUCCCCAGAACCCACAGGGGAGGAGAGCACUGACUCUUAAAUUUUCUUCUGACUUCUAUCUGCCCCUGAUGAAUGAAUGAAUGAAUGAAUGAAGAAAGAAAUAGCUUUCUGUAUCAUAAGUUCCUUUUAUAAUCCUUGGUAGUUUCUCUUAUGCUUUUAUAAAAUAGUUUUAUUAGCAUAUUUAAUUAUAUAUAGCAAUGGGCUUUGUUAUAACAUUUUCAUACAUGUAUAUAAUGUAUUUCAACCAUAUUCCCCCAUUACUCUCUUGUUUAUGUCCUUUAAAAAAACAAAACUAGAAACCUUCUAAACAUGUAUAUACUUAUUUUGUGACAAGACCUCGGGUAACCCAGGCUAACCCCAGAGUUGGCACAGCUGGGAAUGCCAUUGAACUUCUGCUUCUCUUGCCUCCUCCGCACACUACCCUUAUUCUGUGCUUUGGCCAUGCCAGGCAAGCACUCUACCAACUGAGCUACCCCCAGCCCCUAUAUUAUACCUCCCCCAUUUCCCCACAUCUGAGAAAAAGCUCAUAUACUUCUUGGAUACCAGAGAGAUCCAAAACACAAAAGAGGGCUCACAUCUUAGCCUGGGAUGAGAAUGUAGUUCUAGAAUCUUAUGGAGAAUUGAGGCAGGAGUUGAGUUACACUUCCCCGUGGAGUCCCUUACUGGUGGUUUCAGACUGGGUUCCAGGUCCAUUUCUGAGUCAGGGAGGUCUUCCAG